CCAGACUCCUACGGGAGGCAGCAGUGAGGAAUAUUGGUCAAUGGGCGAGAGCCUGAACCAGCCAAGUCGCGUGAAGGACGACGGUUCUAUGGAUUGUAAACUUCUUUUGUAGAGGAAUAACGGUAGCUACGUGUAGCUGAGAUGCAUGUACUCUACGAAUAAGUAUCGGCUAACUCCGUGCCAGCAGCCGCGGUAAUACGGAGGAUACGAGCGUUAUCCGGAAUUAUUGGGUUUAAAGGGUGCGUAGGUGGCGUAUUAAGUCAGUGGUGAAAAGCUGCAGCUCAACUGUAGUCUUGCCGUUGAAACUGAUAUGCUAGAGAGGAGACGAGGUAUGCGGAAUGUGUGGUGUAGCGGUGAAAUGCAUAGAUAUCACACAGAACGCCGAUUGCGAAGGCAGCGUACCAGGCUCCGUCUGACACUGAAGCACGAAAGCGUGGGGAUCAAACAGGAUUAGAUACCCUGGUAGUCCACGCAGUAAACGAUGAAUACUAGAUUUUUGCGAUAUACUGUAAGAGUCUAAGCGAAAGCGAUAAGUAUUCCACCUGGGGAGUACGCCGGCAACGGUGAAACUCAAAGGAAUUGACGGGGCCCGCACAAG
rnacentral:rRNA from 1 species